ensembl:lncRNA
CCCCAUCCACAAUUAGGAGUGGAACAGCUGCUGCCAGCUUGAGGGGCUCUGUGGCCAGCAGGAAAUAAAACGCCUCCGGCUUCAGGUCGCUGCUGAAACAAAUCCUGGCCGGCCUCACAUAUGCUUAAUCGGGGAAGUCUGCGCCCGGCUCUGCCCACCCUGUGCUGCCUCUCCUGGCGCGGCUGGAGCGCCCGGCUCGGGGCAGCUGCCGCCCAGCCUGCCCGCCUCUCAGCAGCUGGGCGGGAGCGCCUGGGCUGCUCUGGACACUCCUCUGACCGGGGCUCGGCGCCUUCAGUCGCAUUUACAGCCCGGGGAGGAAGCUGGGGUAAAGUUCAGAAGCAGUUUGCAGGGAGUUUUAGGCAAUAUCCUGCAACUCUUUCACAGGCCCUGAGCUGGGCGCUCCUCUCCCACAGGCUCGGUAAAGGGUCAAGCUUCAGAAACAGGAUUCUCCCCUUCUCCCUCGAGGGGGAAGGAGCUGGAGGCGAGCUGAGCGCCCCGGGGCAGGUGGUUAACCCCGGAUCUGACUGCACCUUCCCAGAAUUCAGGGGGGGGUGGUCCGCAUGACGCCCCUUAGAAGACCCCAGUGACUUUGUGGAAGAUGCAAGUGCGGCUGGAAACGCUCAGGGGCAGUGGAGCCCACCGGUCAGCUGGGGUCCUCGUCCCACAGUGGCUGAGGGACGUUACAAGCUGUCAGCUGAGAAUGACUCCAGCCACGGAGCCGGCACUCAGCGGCUCGGAGGGCUGCCCGCUGGGCAUCCUCACGGGCGGCCAUUCUCCCUUCUACUUUGCCUCUAAGAAAAUUAUUCACUUACUCUGUCUAAGAAGAAAAACAAACACUCUUUGAGAUACACGAAGCUCAUACGUGUUUAUCACAGGCCAGCCAACCAAAAACACUAGCAAGCAAAUGGUGUUUCUUCAUGUAAACUGAGGCAACCCCAAAGUGGCUCCGGGCAGGAGAGAGGCCCUUGGGGUGCGGUGCCUGUCCUCCAGCCCCCAGCUUUAAGGAGCUGCUGGGCAGAGGCAGCUGGGGAGUCAGGCGGUGGUGGGCCAGCCAGUGCUGGAGGAAGCCUGAGGCUCGCAGACCAUCUUGGUACUUCUCCCCACAGCCAGGAGGGUGAUUAGUUCACGACAACUGCACUUCCUGGGGUGUCUGACUGAAGCAACCCUGAGGGCUAAACCCCUGGCCCCGUGGGUCUGAGCCAGUCACCACGGGCCGAGAGCAUGUCCUUCUCUGCAUCUGCCUGAGCUCACGCUGCCCAGGCCCCGGCUCUUCAAGUCUGCCAGCCAGCGAUAGGAGGGGGCUCGCCUCAACAGUCCCGGCCUUUUAUCUCCCGCUGACCUGCCCGUGCAGCAACACGAAGCCAGUGCCGGGCUUCCUGCAGCUUGCCGAGAGGGGCUGUUUGACUCGUUCAAAGUAUGACUGGCCUCCAAAACCCUGGAACCGUGCCGAGCAACACCCACCCAACAUCCAUUUCAGUUCCAGCUUUAAAAGCCUCUGAGCGCGGGGGCCUAGCCCUCCCUAGGCCUGCGAGUGGGAGAGGUGGCCGCUUCCCAGAACUUGCUUCCCAGGCUCACACACACAUGUGCUUUCUGUCCACAGCUAAACGAAGGGCCUCUCUUCAUCCAAGUCCAGAAAGCCCAGGAGUCAGCUACAGUAGCUCCAGUUAAUGUCUGCGUUUACACUGCUAUUAUUAAAAUAAUUCAGGAGCAUUUAAUAACAUCCCUUGAUCACGGGAACGCAGGCAGCACACCACGUGCUCCCC